UGCUCCGUCAUGAACAAGCCACCAUCUCUCUAUUUCCUUUGUCUUCUUCAGUGUCUGCAACUCUCGCUAUAUCUUCCAGUAAUAUUUUUUAGUUUCUGCAGGUCUGCCUGGCUCCCCAGACAACCUAUUUCAUCCCCUAAGCUCCCUCAAUCACUGUAACACCCUCUGCUCUGUCUAAUCCUCCUCUUUCUCACUGUCUUCCAGGUACAACGGCGAUCCUGUAAGAGAGCAGUGCGGAAUGGGAUGUUAUAAAUCUCAGUUCAGGCUUGAGGACUACCAUUACCUGGGAGUCACAAAGGAGAGAACCUGAGAGAGAGCAGCACAGAGCGGGAGAAUAUAAAUCAGCAGCGAGGAUCGAGGCCGACUGGGACUUGGAUUUGGAUAAUAAGCAGAGCAGGAGGUUCGAAAUCAGCACCGAGUCACAGAGGGAGUGACCACGUGAGGGAGCAACUUGGAGCAGGAGCUUGAGGCUGUCUCACACCUGGGAGAAUAUAAAUCAGCACUGAGGAUCGAGGCCUAGUUGUACCUGGGAGUCACAGAGACGGUGACCCUGUGAGGGAGAAGACUGGAGUGAGAGCUGGACGAUUACACGUCCGAGGAGACACAUCACUGUGUACUCAGGAACUUCUUGA